GGAUUCUUUUCUGGAGUAGACCUCCUUGAAAGGUCUCUAUGCUCCAUGCUGUGCCUGGAUGGCACUUCUACUGUCCCAGACCAUGUUGAAGCCUGAGGUUCAUGUGGAUGUCUGAAGUCCUACAGCAGCCAGGAGCCAUGGUGAUAUCCCUGGUCUAAGGAGAGUCAGCCAAGGAUACAAGCCUGAAUCAUACUGCUGGAAUCCCAAGAACAGACCAGAAGGCAUCUGAAGAGUCAGUGGGAACUGCUUAGCUUUAGACAGCUCAUAAAACAGGAGGGUUUCUACAUAGCUCUGGCUGUAACAGAACUCACUAUGUAAAGAAGGCUGGCCUUGAACUCUCAGAGAUUCACCGGGUCUCUGCUUCCCAGAAUGCUGGGAUUAAAGAUCUCAUCUAUUGAUCCUGGACAAUGUCUACCUGCCUGCUUCUAUGCUGCCACCAAGAUGGUCAUGGACUCACUGAAACUAACCACAGAAGAGAAAUACAUGUCUAAAACUGGGUCAUGUGACUCUGGAGUCCUCAAUUUUACAUCCCUGACUUGGAAGAUGACUGACAUCUGCCAGAACAGCUCUAUUGAAGCCGUAUUUUCCUUGCUCAUACAGGCAAGGACUAUGACUGUCCAGACUCAAACAGAACUUUAACCCCACCAUUCACUUCAGAAUGGAGGCCAACUUGGUCUGCACAAACCUCUGGCUGAGCUGACUGGCAGCAGAGCUAAGCUGAGCUCAUGCUUCAUCCCUGGACUCCCAGGCUACACUACUCUGUCUUGGCGUCUGCUCUGUCAUGGGAAAGGCAUAUUUAUCAUAGACAAUUGGUGGACUCUCCACCAAAGGACCUACCUAAGGUAUCAACAAUACCCUAAUGGCACACAAAUCCUUGCCAGCCAACAUUCAGGUUUGGAACAAUGCCAAGGCCAUCCUUUGGAGCUUGUAAUGCCCUGUGGGGCAUGGCUGUUCUGCUAGGUAUGCUUCUCUGCUUUAUUGAGAUAAGCACUUGCUCUCAGAGACCUAAAGGAGGAUGUGCAGGGACAGAGAUGUGAUCCUUCAGCUUCGUUCUCCUGCCAGAAUGCCACCUCUUAUCACCAUGCCUACCCUCCAGGAUAGACUCUUAUCCUUUUGGAACCAUAAACCAAAGAAAUGCUUCCGUGUCUAAGUUGCUAUUGGUUAUGGUAUUUUAUCACAAGAACAGAAAAGUAACUGAGCCACAAAUUGGGAUGAAAUAGAGGAGAUAUUUCUGUCAAGACCUAACUGUGUUGAGGUUUGGUUUUGUAAGAAUGCACUAGAAGUUAGAGGCUUCGGAAGAAAACAAGAACUGUAACAGUACUUCAAGAAAGAGGCCGUUCUUUAAUAUUUUGGCCAAGAAUCCAGUGACCUUCUACCCAUGAACUUGCCUGAAACUAACUAAAAUGUAAUGGACUAAUCUCUUUGGCA
rnacentral:lncRNA from 1 species